AGCAAUUCUGUCUCAUCUUCAGUGUCACUUCAAGGGUUUGAGCUUUGUGAUGAUGCAACAACUCCUUUUGUUAACAUGGCGGAGCAAAUACCUCCUGAACAUGAUAGAGGUACUCGCACUGAAAACUUAGAAUCAUGUCCACCCACCUGCUCUCUUGUGUCAGAUGAAAGCCAUGGGCAAGAUAACAAAUCUGUACAAUGCUCGGUUGACAGCUCUGGUUUUGUUCAAGAUCCUGAGGAUAUUACUAUUGGUGGUGAGAAAGUGAGUUCAGGUGCAGUUACAGAGCACCCAUCUCCAGUCUCCAGAGAAGUAUUUGCUUGUAAUGAUGACACCUCUUUGGGCAGGUCUAUUAGGCCAGAAACAGUGACAGAGUCCAUCCUUACUUCUUCAUCCAGUGGUGAUGACAAGUUUACUGUAAGAGAACUUUUGUCAUCACUAGCAGACGCCAGUGCCCCUCCCAGUGCCCCUCCCAGUGCCACUCCCACUGUCCCUUCCACUGCCACUGCCACUCCCACUGUCCCUUCCACUGCCACUCCCACUGCCACUCCCCCUGCCCCUCCUACUCCCUCCAUCUUGUC
rnacentral:lncRNA from 1 species